rnacentral:rRNA from 1 species
AUGGAGGUGGUGAGCGUGAUCGCCCACGUGGUGCAGGAGAUAGUGAAGGCGGCUGCGACGGCCCGGGAGAACAGUGAGAGGUGCCUUGACCUUGCCAACCGCGCGAGCGCCAUCAGCGACAUCCUCCUCCUCGACUCCUCCACUGCGAGCACGAGCAGCAGCGCCAGCAGCUACACGGCGAGGCUGAGAACGCCCCCGCUGGAGAUGCUGAAGGAUGCGCUCCAAGAAGCGCUCGAGCUUGUCGAGUCCCAGCAGCCAGGCGGCUUCGGCGCGGAGCUCAUGAAGCUGCUGACAAGCGGCCCGACGGCCGCCAGGUUCCAGAAGGUCGAGGAUAAGAUCGCCGCCUGGGUCGGCAUCGUCGGCCUGGCGAAGCAGUUCGCCGCUAGCUAUCGUGCCCGCGACGCCAACACCGGCUCGGCACCCUCCCUUGCCCUGGAGCAUCACCACCAGAGCUUGAAGCCUGCGACGUCGCUGUUGCAGGAGCACCAAAGCUUGCCGCAACGCCCGAGCUUACUGCUGGCAUCGUUGCAGCAGAACCAGCCUGCGACGUCCUUAUUGCAGGAGCACCAAAGCUUGCCGCAACGCCCGAGCUUACAGCUAGCAUCGUUGCAGCAGAACCAGAGCUUGAAGCCUGCGACGUCGCUGUUGCAGGAGCACCAAAACUUGCCGCAACGCCCGAGCUUACUGCUGGCAUCAUUGCAGCAAAACCAGAGCUUCCAGACCGAGGAGUCGCCGUCCCAGCAUCGACGGAGCUCACAGUCCACGACGCCGCCAUCGUUACAGCAGCACUAG